GGUCAAGCGAACAAGGGCGCAGGGCGAAUGCCUUGGCACUGGGAGCCGAAGAAGGACGUGGUAAGCUGCGAAAAGCUGCGGGGAGAUGCAAACAAUCUUUGAUCCGCAGAUGUCCGAAUGGGGAAACCCACAUGGAGUCAUGUCCAUGUACCAUAGGGUGAAUACAUAGCCCUAUGGGGGGAACCGCCUGAACUGAAACAUCUAAGUAGGGCGAGGAAAAGACAUCAACCGAGAUUCCGCUAGUAGUGGCGAGCGAACGCGGAGAAGGGCAAACCGAGGGUAGAAAUACCCUCGGGGUACGGACUGCACAAUGUAGUUAAGUUGUUAGCCGAAGUGUGUGGGAAAGCACACCGAAGAGGGUGAGAGUCCCGUAGGCGAAAACGACAAGACGCAGGCAGGAUCCAGAGUACGGCCGGGCACGUGAAACCCGGUCGGAACAUGGGGGGACCACCCUCCAACCCUAAAUACUACCCAGUGACCGAUAGAGUAUUAGUACUGUGAAGGAAAGGUGAAAAGAACCCCGGGAGGGGAGUGAAAGAGAACCUGAAACCCUGUGCCUACAAGCACCGAGAGCACAUCAAAGUGUGAUCGGGUACUUUUUGUAGAACGGUCCGGCGAGCCAAUGUAUGCAGCAAGGUUAAGGUACUGGAGUACUGGAGCCGAAGGGAAACCGAGUGUGAAUAGCGCGAAUGAGUUGCAUGUAUUGGGCCCGAAACCGGGUGACCUAUCCAUGGUCAGGCUGAAGUGGGGGUAAGACCCCAUGGAGGGCCGAACACACGUCUGUUGAAAAAGCCGGUGAUGAACUGUGGAUAGCGGAGAAAUUCCAAUCGAACCCGGAGAUAGCUGGUUCUCCCCGAAAUAGCUUUAGGGCUAGCCUCGUAUUAGAUUAUCGGAGGUAAAGCACUGAAUGGUCUAGGGCCCGAGAGGGUACCGAAACCUAUCAAACUCUGAAUGCCGAAUAAUCGAUGUACGGGAGUCAGACAGUGUGAGAUAAGUCUCAUUGUCGAAAGGGAAACAGCCCAGACCUACAGCUAAGGUCCCAAAGUAUGUUUAAGUGGAAAAGGAUGUGGAGUUGCAAAGACAACCAGGAUGUUGGCUUAGAAGCAGCCACUCAUUAAAAGAGUGCGUAAUAGCUCACUGGUCGAGUGACUCUGCGCCGAAAAUUCAACGGGGCUAAAACAUACACCGAAGCUUAGGCAGGUAUCUGUUCAACAACAUUUAUCAUGUAGAGAAGCGAGGAAUUUGCGAAGCGAAUUUCCAAAUUCCUUUUAGAAAAAACAAGAGUAGUGUUUUCAUGGAAAACAGGAGCAAUGUUUUCAUGGAAAACAGGAGCAAUGUUUUCGCAGGAAACAGAAUGAAGUUGUUAGAGGAAAACAUGGUAGAAGUUGUUGAGCAGGUAACUGGGUAGGGGAGCGUUGUGUACGAGGAGAAGCAUUAGCGAGAGCGGAUGUGGAUUGUACACAAGUGAGAAUGCCGGAAUGAGUAGCGAGAAUGCAGUGAGAAUCUGCAUGGCCGAAAACCUAAGGAUUUUGGAGGAAGGUUCGUCCGCUCCAAGUUAGCCGGGAGCUAAGGUGAGGCCGAAAGGCGUAGCUGAUGCACAUACGGUAGAUAUUCCGUAGCCAGCGAAAAAUUUAAGCACAGGGACACUUAAGAAGGGCUCGAGCCGGGUGAUGGUUACCCCGGUCGUAAGCGACUGAACAAUAGUAGGGAAGUCGAGUUUGGAUUGAGGCGAGAAAAGCUGUGUGUAUAUUUUAGCUGCCCGUACCGCAAACCGACACAGGUAGGUAGGAAGAGGAUUCUAAGGCCAACGGGAGAAGGGUUGUUAAGGAACUCGGCAAAAUGACCCCGUAACUUCGGGAGAAGGGGUGCUCUAUUCGUAGAGCCGCAGAGAAUAGGCCCAAGCAACUGUUUAGCAAAAACACAGGUCUGUGCUAAAUCGAAAGAUGACGUAUACGGGCUGACGCCUGCCCGGUGCUGGAAGGUUAAAGGGAAGUGUGCAAGCAUUGAACUGAAGCCCCAGUAAACGGCGGCCGUAACUAUAACGGUCCUAAGGUAGCGAAAUUCCUUGUCAGGUAAGUUCUGACCCGCACGAAUGGCGUAAUGAUUUGGGCACUGUCUCGACAGCCCGCCCGGCGAAAUUGUAGUACCGGUGAAGAUGCCGGUUACCCGCGACAAGACGGAAAGACCCCAUGGAGCUUUACUGUAGCCUGAUAUUGGGUUUUGGUAUUACAUGUACAGGAUAGGUGGGAGACUGGGAAGCUGAGGCGUCAGCCUUAGUGGAGUCGUCCUUGGGAUACCACUCUUGUGAUACUGGAAUUCUAACCUGCGGCCAUGAAUCUGGCCGGGGGACAUUGUCAGGUGGGCAGUUUGACUGGGGCGGUCGCCUCCAAAAGAGUAACGGAGGCGUUCAAAGGUUGGCUCAGCAUGGACGGAAACCAUGCCAAAGAGCGCAAACGCAAAAGCCAGCCUGACUGCGAGAGAGACAUCUCGAGCAGGUACGAAAGUAGGAGUUAGUGACCCGGCGGUAUGUGAGUGGAAAUGCCGUCGCUCAACGGAUAAAAGUUACCCUGGGGAUAACAGGCUGAUCUCCCCCAAGAGUUCAUAUCGACGGGGAGGUUUGGCACCUCGAUGUCGGCUCAUCGCAUCCUGGGGCUGUAUUCGGUCCCAAGGGUUUGGCUGUUCGCCAAUUAAAGCGGUACGCGAGCUGGGUUCAGAACGUCGUGAGACAGUUCGGUCCCUAUCUGUCGUGGGCGCAGGAUAUUUGAUGGGAUCUGUCCCUAGUACGAGAGGACCGGGAUGGACGCACCUCUGGUGCACCAGUUGUCACGCCAGUGGCAUAGCUGGGCAGCUAAGUGCGGAACGGAUAAACGCUGAAAGCAUCUAAGCGUGAAACCGACCCAAAGAUAAGAUAUCCCACUGUUUAAAACAGGUAAGACCCCUUGAAGACUACAAGGUAGAUAGGCACCAAGUGGAAGUGCAGUGAUGCAUGUAGCUAGGGUGUACUAAUCGGUCGAGGGCUUGACCAC
rnacentral:rRNA from 1 species